AACUGUAGCUAGCUACCUGACAGGAGUCCUAGCAAGAUACGUUAGCUUACUAGGUACAUUAGGUUGGUUGUUUUUAAGUUAAACUUCAAGAUAUCCACCAAGGACGUUGCCUCUCCAAUCAUCAAUCUCCUUCGCUUGGGCAAGGGACAUUUAAGGACAAAGCUAGCCCGUCCCCCUCCACCCUCCAGGAGUCACCAGGUCCACCGCCUCUCCAUACUUUACUGCUGGUUCUGGUCGACUGCAGGAAGGUGAACAUGGAGAUUUGAUUUCAUUAAGUGAGAACCAUGUGGAUUAGAUUACAGUCUGCUUCUGUAACAAUUAAUUGGGGACAUCCCUAAUCAUUGCUCUCUUAGUGGGAGGGGCGUAUCAUCUGGGGAGCCUCCACAACAUCAUGAUUCUGAUAAGAAAGAGAAGAGUCUCUCCAGAUCAGAACACCUCAAGAAACACCAGCAUAGAGGUAUAGGGAAGAAACCUCACCACUGCUGCUCUGACUGUGAGAAGAGUUUUGCUAAACAAGACUUAACUAUUCAUGAGCAAAUUCACACUGGAUAGAACCCGUACCAUUGCUCUCAGCGUGGGAAGAGUUUUGCUGCAUCUAAAACCUUAAAAUUUCAUCAGAGAAUUCAUACAUGGGAGAGGCCUUACCCAUGCUUUGAUUGUGGGAACUACCGUAAAUUCCGGACUAUAAGCCGCAACUUUUUCCCCACGCUUUGAACCUCGCGGCUUAAACAAUGACGCGGCUAAUAUAUGGAUUUUUCCCGCUUUCAAUUUUUUUUCUCCAAAAAAACACAUUCUGUGACAUGCUCAGUUUUUUGGCGGCAUGAAGCUUUCAUUAGACCAAUGAAAUUGCCGAACGGGUUAAGGUCAAAAACUUUUUGGUUUACUGUUUAGAUUAAAUCGAGCGCUCUCAAACUUCCCAUCAUUCUGAUUACGGUAGUCAUUUUGUCACCCUCAUCAUGGCAAAGACACGGAGAAAUGCAUAUGAUGCAGCUUUCAAGUUGAAGGCGAUUGAUCUGGCUGUUGGAAAAGGAAAUAGAGCUGCUGCACGGGAGCUUGGUCUUAAUGAGUCGAUGAUAAGACGUUGGAAACAGCAGCGUGCGGAAUUGACUCAGUGCAAAAAGACAACUAAAGCUUACUGCAAAUUUUUUAUUUUUUGUUACAAGCCGUGUUUCGUUAAAGCCUAUUUAUUUUUGUUACAAGCCGUGUUUCGUUAAAGCCUGUGUAAAGUUAAUUUGUUUCAAUGUACCGGUAGGCACCUGCGGCUUAUAGACAUGUGCAGCUUAUAUUCAGGUGCGCUUAAUAGUCCGGAAAUUACGGUACUUCAAUCAAUCAGGAGCCCAGACUAAACACAAACACACAGGAGAGAAGCCUUAUAGCUUUGAUCAGUGUGGGAAGAGCUUCAGUCGAUCAGGAGACCUGACUAAACACCAACUCAUACACACAGGAGAGAAGCCUUAUAGCUGUGAUCAUUGUGGAAAGAGCUUUGCUCAUUCAGGUUCACUGAUAACACACCAUAAAGCACAAACAUGUUUUCUUUUAUUUCGUUUCUCUCCGGCACCGGUUCCAGAUCCCUAAAUAAAGU
rnacentral:lncRNA from 1 species